UACGAAGGGGGCUAGCGUUGUUCGGAAUUACUGGGCGUAAAGCGCACGUAGGCGGAUCGAUCAGUCAGGGGUGAAAUCCCAGGGCUCAACCCUGGAACUGCCUUUGAUACUGUCGAUCUGGAGUAUGGAAGAGGUGAGUGGAAUUCCGAGUGUAGAGGUGAAAUGCGUAGAGAUCCGGAGGAACACCGAAGGCGAAGGCAGUCUCCUGGCAAGUUACUGACGCUCAGGUGCGAAAGCUAGGUGAGCGAACAGG
rnacentral:rRNA from 1 species